rnacentral:rRNA from 1 species
CGGGGUGAGUAACGCGUGGGUAAUCUGCCCUGCACAGGGGGACAACAGCUAGAAAUGGCUGCUAAUACCGCAUAAGCCUACAGCCUCGCAUGAGGGAGCAGGAAAAGAAAUUCGGUGCAGGAUGAGUCCGCGUCUGAUUAGCUAGUUGGAGGGGUAAAAGCCCACCAAGGCAACGAUCAGUAGCCGGCCUGAGAGGGCGACCGGCCACAUUGGGACUGAGACACGGCCCAAACUCCUACGGAAGGCAGCAG